rnacentral:rRNA from 1 species
UACAGAGACUGCAAGCGUUACUCGGAUUCACUGGGCGUAAAGAGCUCGUAGGCGGUUUGUCGCGUCUGCUGUGAAAACGCGAGGCUCAACCUCGCGCCUGCAGUGGGUACGGGCAGACUAGAGUGCGGUAGGGGAGAUUGGAAUUCCUGGUGUAGCGGUGGAAUGCGCAGAUAUCAGGAGGAACACCGAUGGCGAAGGCAGAUCUCUGGGCCGUAACUGACGCUGAGGAGCGAAAGCGUGGGGAGCGAACAGG